UAAGCAGACCGCCUUAUCGCUCUAUUUAUAGAGAGGAAAGUCCGGACACCACAGAGAAGCAUAGCGGCUAACAGCCGCCAAUAUCAUUUUUGGUAUUAGGACAAGUGCAGCAGAAAGAAUGUACAGGUAAUGCUGUAGUGAAACCAGGUAAACUCUAUGCGGUGCAAUGUCAUGUAAACCAAUGUUUGAGGGUGCUCGCCCGAUGUUGGAGGGUAGGCAGCUAGAGGUUUUUGGCAACAAAAACCCCAGAUAAAUGAUAAGGGCCUUUUAGGUACAGAAUCCGGCUUAUAGGUCUGCUUUUUUU
rnacentral:RNase_P_RNA from 1 species